GGGGAAACGACAUCGAAAGCUUGCUUUUGAUGGGCGUCGACCGGCGCACGGGUGAGUAACGCGUAUCCAACCUGCCCACCACUUGGGGAUAACCUUGCGAAAGUAAGACUAAUACCCAAUGAUAUCUCUAGAAGACAUCUGAAAGAGAUUAAAGAUUUAUCGGUGAUGGAUGGGGAUGCGUCUGAUUAGCUUGUUGGCGGGGUAACGGCCCACCAAGGCAACGAUCAGUAGGGGUUCUGAGAGGAAGGUCCCCCACAUUGGAACUGAGACACGGUCCAAACUCCUACGGGAGGCAGCAGUGAGGAAUAUUGGUCAAUGGACGAGAGUCUGAACCAGCCAAGUAGCGUGCAGGAUGACGGCCCUAUGGGUUGUAAACUGCUUUUAUAAGGGAAUAAAGUGAGUCUCGUGAGACUUUUUGCAUGUACCUUAUGAAUAAGGACCGGCUAAUUCCGUGCCAGCAGCCGCGGUAAUACGGAAGGUCCGGGCGUUAUCCGGAUUUAUUGGGUUUAAAGGGAGCGUAGGCCGGAGAUUAAGCGUGUUGUGAAAUGUAGAUGCUCAACAUCUGCACUGCAGCGCGAACUGGUUUCCUUGAGUACGCACAAAGUGGGCGGAAUUCGUGGUGUAGCGGUGAAAUGCUUAGAUAUCACGAAGAACUCCGAUUGCGAAGGCAGCUCACUGGAGCGCAACUGACGCUGAAGCUCGAAAGUGCGGGUAUCGAACAGGAUUAGAUACCCUGGUAGUCCGCACGGUAAACGAUGGAUGCCCGCUGUUGGUCUGAAUAGGUCAGCGGCC
rnacentral:rRNA from 1 species